rnacentral:rRNA from 1 species
CUUCGGGUAAUGAGGAUGGCGGACGGGUGAGUAACGCGUAAGGAACUUGCCUCUUGGACUGGGACAACUGUUGGAAACGACAGCUAAUACCGGAUAUUAUGAGAUUCUCGCAUGAGAAACUUAUGAAAGCUAUAUGCGCCAAGAGAGAGCCUUGCGUUCCAUUAGCUAGUUGGUGGGGUAAUGGCCCACCAAGGUGACGAUGGAUAGCCGGCCUGAGAGGGUGAACGGCCACAAGGGGACUGAGACACGGCCCUUACUCCUACGGGAGGCAGCAGUGGGGAAUAUUGGACAAUGGGCCACAAGCCUGAUCCAGCAAUUCUGUGUGCACGAUGAAGGUCUUCGGAUUGUAAAGUGCUUUCAGUUGGGAAGAAGAAAGUGACGGUACCAACAGAAGAAGCGACGGCUAAAUACGUGCCAGCAGCCGCGGUAAUACGUAUGUCGCAAGCGUUAUCCGGAUUUAUUGGGCGUAAAGCGCGUCUAGGCGGAAAAAUAAGUCUGAUGUUAAAAUGCGGGGCUCAACUCCGUAUUGCGUUGGAAACUGUUUUUCUAGAGUACUGGAGAGGUGGGCGGAACUACAAGUGUAGAGGUGAAAUUCGUAGAUAUUUG